UCNCCUUCGGCGGCUGGCUCCAAAGGUUACCUCACCGACUUCGGGUGUUACAAACUCUCGUGGUGUGACGGGCGGUGUGUACAAGGCCCGGGAACGUAUUCACCGCGGCAUGCUGAUCCGCGAUUACUAGCGAUUCCGGCUUCAUGUAGGCGAGUUGCAGCCUACAAUCCGAACUGAGAAUGGUUUUAUGGGAUUGGCUAAACCUCGCGGUCUUGCAGCCCUUUGUACCAUCCAUUGUAGCACGUGUGUAGCCCAGGUCAUAAGGGGCAUGAUGAUUUGACGUCAUCCCCACCUUCCUCCGGUUUGUCACCGGCAGUCACCUUAGAGUGCCCAACUGAAUGCUGGCAACUAAGGUCAAGGGUUGCGCUCGUUGCGGGACUUAACCCAACAUCUCACGACACGAGCUGACGACAACCAUGCACCACCUGUCACUCCUGUCCCCGAAGGGAAAUCCCUAUCUCUAGGGAGGUCAAGAGGAUGUCAAGACCUGGUAAGGUUCUUCGCGUUGCUUCGAAUUAAACCACAUGCUCCACCGCUUGUGCGGGCCCCCGUCAAUUCCUUUGAGUUUCAGCCUUGCGGCCGUACUCCCCAGGCGGAGUGCUUAAUGCGUUAGCUGCAGCACUAAAGGGCGGAAACCCUCUAACACUUAGCACUCAUCGUUUACGGCGUGGACUACCAGGGUAUCUAAUCCUGUUCGCUCCCCACGCUUUCGCGCCUCAGCGUCAGUUACAGACCAGAGAGUCGCCUUCGCCACUGGUGUUCCUCCACAUCUCUACGCAUUUCACCGCUACACGUGGAAUUCCACUCUCCUCUUCUGCACUCAAGUCUCCCAGUUUCCAAUGGCCGCUUGCGGUUGAGCCGCAAGAUUUCACAUCAGACUUAAGAAACCGCCUGCGCGCGCUUUACGCCCAAUAAUUCCGGACAACGCUUGCCACCUACGUAUUACCGCGGCUGCUGGCACGUAGUUAGCCGUGGCUUUCUGGUUAGGUACCGUCAAGGUACCGCCCUAUUNGAACGAUACUUGUUCUUCCCUAACAACAGNNNUUUACGAUCCGAAAACCUUCAUCNNUC
rnacentral:rRNA from 1 species